GGGGCGGUAGCUCAGUUGGUUAGAGCCGCGGACUCAUAAUCCGUUGGUCGCGGGUUCGAGUCCCGCCCGCCCACGUCA
rnacentral:tRNA from 1 species